UGCCGCUUUAAAUAGAGCGAGUCCUGUGAACUGUUGUUUACUCAACAAGUGGAUGCGCAGGUCCAGCCGCAGAGAUCUGGUCCUUCACGUCUGAUCAGAGGAGUCUCUCAGUUCAAGAAGAGCCGAAGCCUCUUUAUCAUCUGUCCCACCUCUGACUGUCAGCACGUGUGACUGAAUGCUGAAGUUGAAUCCCAGGCGUUGGACAACUGAGGCUGGAUUUUAUGGAUGAGGCUGAGGACAAUAACAUGCAGGAAAUGGUCUGGGGCAGACUCAGACCCAGGACCCUGCAGCACCUUUGGCACCCCCUCAGCCAGGUGGAACAAAGAGGCAGCAGACACGAUGCAAUCAGGCUGCUGCGGUUCAUAUGAGGUCACAUAGUGUUGCACGAUUCGCUUUCACUGAUAAUGUUGUCCUCAAGUCAACAUCAACAUUAAACUGCUGCCAAAUGGGCAAACCUGACCAUGCUC